GUUGUCGUGCGGUGACGUCAAGCCCUGAUCAGACUCUAUGCAAAGCGCCCCACGAUGCGCGUGCUGCUGAGAGCACAAGGAGGAGAGAGGAGGACGGACACUUAGCAGCCUGGCUAAUGUAGCCUGUGGGGUCGCAAAAUAUUUGUAAAUACAUUUAUUUGGAAAUGAACAACACUUCAGAUCUGGAAAUCGGACUGGGUUGCCUAAGGCGUUCAACGUGAGAUGCUUUUGGGAGUCUUGUUUCGCCACGUGUCACAGACCCACAUGUCCUCGUGGAAUUCAUCUAUGCGUUCUUACAGCUGAUAUUGCUGCUGUGUUGGCCAGCGACCACCUCUCUGCAUUAAGUCAAAUGAAGAGGUUGUGUAUCAGUUAUCCGGACCCUCUGCUGGAGGAUUCAAAUUGGACCGAAUUCCUUUGUAAAUUGCUCUCUCACCUCUAUUGUGGGACAUUUUGUACUUCAUUGCUUCUGGGUGGUCCUGUCACUGAGCGCGAGAGGUCCCGCCGCACACAACUGCCGGCAUUUACACUCCGUCCUCUCUCACUGCACACCUUCCUGUGGAGAUUGGCUCACUUCGAUUCCUCUAAGAUGAAUGUCUCUUUGAACCUCUUGUGGCAUUUGAGUGAACUGCAGUUACAGGUUCCAGCUCUGGUGAUUCAUCGAAUGGGAACUUCAGAGGAAUUUGCUGCAUCACAGACCAAAUCUGUUCAGGUUUUCAUGUGUACACAACAUUCCUUUGAUGUGACCAACAAGAGUAUAAAAAUGAUGUCUCUUGAGAGAGAUCCAGAGAGACUAUUGGUCUUUCUGUUUAUCCAUCAUCUUAGGCUCACUUUCACAGUCUCUCCACCACUGUUGUUUCAUACAAUGAUUUGUAUGAAUAAUUUAUGCCACAUUGCUUCGCUGUCAUUAAAGGUGACCUUGGUUAAUUAUUGAUCAGGUCAGAUGAUUUCAGUCCUGACCUCUAGGUUCUCGUCUACCGCUCGGCUCAGAUUUCAUAUCUACGCUCUUCCUCUUUGUAUUCCUGGAGACCCUCAUAUGAUGAAUUACUGUCUAUUGUUAUUGCUGGGGGAGUGUUGGUGCAUUUACAGAGACGUGAAAUGUAAAAUUACAAAUGUAACCCCAACGCCAAGACUAUUACUUUGUUUUAAUGAAAUAUGUAAGAGGUAAUGUAUAAGUCAGUUGGUCAUCACUGAAUAAACCCUGACAGGGUGAUCAGGUUGAGCCCCUGAACGGGUUUAUUUGUUUUUUGUUACACUGAUCGUCUGACUAUUACCCUGCUACUUGUCAAAUAGAUACAUAAAUGGACUUGAAAUGUUGUUUUUUGUUAUGUUUUUAUGUGAGAAGAGAGCAUGUGAUUGACGGAGUAUAACAAGGCAAUGUAUAAUAAUAAUACAGUUUAGCAGCUAUUAUAAAAAAAAAAAUGCUGUUUUCAACAUUAAUAAAUUAUUUCUGAAGGAUCAUGUGACGCUUAAUAUUGGAGUUAUGCCUGCAGAAAAUUCAACACUGCCAUCACAAAGGAAUAAAUUUCAUUUUACAAUAUAUUAAAAAUGAACAAUUAUUUUAAGUUGUAAUAUUUCACAAUACAGUUUUGAGGAUUUGUUAUAAUGUGAGAAGAAAGAGACCACGGAUUGAUUGAAAAGACAUUAGAAUCAAGCAGAAAAUCGGAUUAGUUGAUGGGUACAUCAGAAUGGGCUCUGUAUCUGACAUGCAGACUGAUGACCUGCUGAAUGUUGGUCCACUGAAUGAAAAGGAUGGGAGGAACGUCAUCUUGACCUUUCGAAGGCACUCCCUCAUCGCUAUGGCCCUUUGGCCUGAAUGCUUUAAUAAGCCCUCAUGAAAUUAACCCUUAAUGUGUGCCAGUGUGCUGACUCAACAGCCGUCGCGCGGGUCAAUCUGAGUUUGAUUAUUCUGGCCCUGGCUGCCCCAAGCUGAGGUUGAGUCGGGUCAGGAAUGAAGCACCUGUCACUUGUAUAUAAUUUGCAAGAGAAUGAUAAAUGUGGCUGUAAUGGCUAAACCACUACAGAAUUAGCUCCAAUGAUGAGCACGUAAUGACCUCAUGAUUUACGAUAGGUGUUUGCCUAGUGUUGUGUUACAUUAGCGUGCUUGUUUGGGCUUCAGCAGCCUGUAAAGUUCACAUGGUCACACCGUAGCACCUCAACCCCUGUUAAAGCACUUGUCACUGAAGUUAUAGCAGCAGAGGGAUGCUUUUACAUCUCUCUCUGUUCACAGACCUGUAGUGGAGUGGAGGCAGUGAGAAUGUCCUGACAGUCUGAGGCACACUGACUCUCUGGGGUGACCAGACGGCUCCUGCUGACUCAGCACCAAUCACCAAUGUCCUCCUCCCCUCGCUCAGUGAUGUCUGAC
rnacentral:lncRNA from 1 species